rnacentral:rRNA from 1 species
UUCCAGCUCCAAUAGCGUAUAUUAAAGUUGUUGCAGUUAAAAAGCUCGUAGUUGGAUUUCUGGUUGGAGCGACCGGUCGGGCAUUGAUUUGUCUGCACUGGAGUCGGUUCUGGCCAUCCUCUUGGAAAGUGCGUCUGUCAUUAAGUUGUCGGGCGUAUGAUCCAGGUCUUUUACUGUGAAAAAAUUAGAGUGUUUAAAGCAGGCCUUCGCCUUGAAUACAUUAGCAUGGAAUAAUAAGAUAGGACUUUGGUCUAUUUUGUUGGUUUGCAGACCGAAGUAAUGAUUAAUAGGGAUAGUUGGGGUAUUUAUAUUCCAAUGUCAGAGGUGAAAUUCUUUAGAUUUUGGAAGAUAAACUUAUGCGAAAGCAUUUACCAAGGAUGUUUUCUAUUAAUCAAGAACGAAAGUUAAGGGGAUCGAAGAUGAUUAGAUACCAUCGUAGUCUUAACCAUAAACUAUGCCGACUCAGGAUUGGUGAACGUUAAUUGAAUGACUUCAUCAGCACUGUAUGA